AAUCCAUGGUUUCUUUAGUGAGUACCCCACACGUGUUUUCUUUUUGAAUACCUUUAAUUACAUUUCUUUCACCGAAGGAUCCAAGAAAGCUCACAACACUUGCUUUUUCUUUCUAUAGCUUUUUCUCCCUUUGCUUGGAAAAUAAUGACUCCCGUAAGAAUCCAUGGUUUCUUUAGUGAGUACCCCACACGUGUUUUCUUUUUGAAUACCUUUAAUUACAUUUCUUUCACCGAAGGAUCCAAGAAAGCUCACAACACUUGCUUUUUCUUUCUAUAGCUUUUUCUCCCUUUGCUUGGAAAAUAAUGACUCCCGUAAGAAUCCAUGGUUUCUUUAGUGAGUACCCCACACGUGUUUUCUUUUUGAAUACCUUUAAUAGACAAUUUGUUGCUUGCAGGAAUAAUUGCCAUGCACGUCAUGAUGUGGAUCGCACAUGACCAAAAGAGGCCAGAGACACUCAAUUGGGUCAACUCAGUGUUAAGAACGUGUGACGCACAUAACACAAGGAAGAAUGGAUGUUCGUUCCCAUGGAGAAGCUUGGGAAUCACAUGAUUUACUUCUCCGCGUUUAUCACGUAAGCUUUGAUGUAGUCGUUCAGUAUAAUUCCCAUGGAGAAGAUAAGAAGCUUCUCCGCGUUUAUCACGUAAUCUAAUAUUGAAUUAACUUUAAAAUCAUAUGAAAAGAUUAAUCAUUUUAAUAAAUAUUAGACGAGAAGUGUUGUUUCCCUAAAGACAAAGGUCCGCCGCACCGAGCCUCUGUUUCUCUAGCCCGACACCCUCCUUUUCUCUCUCUCUUGAUCUGCACCUUCACUCACCGUGGAACGUCCACCUCCUGUUCUCAAUUUUUUACGCUGGAAAGAAAUUUUAUGGGGUUCUAUUCUCGCAAUUCGUCUCGGGAUUAAAAAAUGGGGAAUAUUUAUGAUUUGUUUGAUCUAAAGGGGAAUAUUAAGAGCUGUUUAUGUGGACUAUUUGAGACUCUUUAGGCAAACAAGUCUCUGGCUUCUGUUGGAUGUGGUAUAAGGUGAUGCUAUUGAAUCAUUGAUGGGAAAGUUUCUUUACCUAUCAUAAAAAAAGAAAAAAAAAAAGGGUUUCUGGUACAACAGUUUAGAAGCUGUUUCGCGGAACUAGAGUUUACAAUCUAAUCUUAACUUGCUAUGCUCAUUUUAAAUUGACUAAAAUACUUGUUCACUGUAUAGGGAUUGUUUGUGGAAGUCAAACUUCUGGUUGUCAAAAAAUAUAUAAAACUGAAAAGUGAGAUGAGAUGCAAUUAGCUACUUCUACAACAGAAAUGUUUUUCUUUCCCCUGGGUUAGAAUUAUUGAUUUAUGUAGCUAGUUGGAAAGUACUAUAAUGGUUUGAAUAAAGAGAGAAAUACAGGAGUAUUUUGUGCUAAGGUGUUUUGGUUGGUCAAGUUUCGCUUCAAGGAGUUUGUGCUGUUGUAAAUAGGAUUAGUUAUUCAUUGUCCAAAGAAAAACAAGAAUUAAAUGAUAUUCUGGAGGAGAAUUUCAGUUGGAAAAUGUAUGAGCUGCAAUAGUCUAAACUUCUUCGAAAAAUGCAUUAGGAAUUAAGCUUAUCAUUUCUUGAAAAAUUUGGAAUUAAAGAUGUUUCUGAUUGUUCUCAAUUAUGAGAUCAUUUGCUAGGUUGAAGAACAGAAACCCAAGAAGAAGGCUCAUAGUGAAAAGGAGCCCCGGAUGAAGCACCAUCAUAGCUGUUUAAAGAAUCAAAAGCAUUCAUCAUCCAGGAAACAAUCAGAUUUAGAAAAUGUCACUGCAGAAGGGGAAAAGGGGAAGACUAGUAGACAGAAAUCUUGAUGUUGUAGUAUAGCCUCAUAAAUUGAGCAAAUGGAAUUAAAGUCUAAAAUAGCAUGUGUUAAAUUAGAAAAAGAUUCAGAAAGUUAGUUAUUUUCUGUUAUUGUCUUUCAUUAGUAUAAAUACAUUCAGUACUUGUAAUUAAUUCAUUCACACAAAAGGUUUUCAUUUCAUUUUUCCUCUGCUUCUAUUCUGUGUUCAUCAGAAAAUUGACAUGGUAUCAGAUUGAAAAUCAUUCUUGCUUCUGCAAAUUCAUCUUCUCGUCUCUAAAACUUUGAAUUCUUGAAAUCUGAAUUACAAAAUUCUGCUCGAGAAUUUUUGUUGUUGUCUUCUUCGUCUUCUUUCAUUUCUUGCACUUUCUCUAAUAGAUUCCUGAAAUGGAUUCUACCAAUUCUGCCACUUCUCCUCGCUCUGUCAUAAAUCUCUCAGAUUAUUCCUCUAGUCCUUCUUAUCUACAUCCAAAUGACAAUCCUGGUGCCCUCCUCGUUUCAGAAAUUUUUUCUGGAGAUAAUUACAUUGCAUGGAGUCGAUCAAUCACCAUGGCAUUGACUGUCAAGAACAAGGUGGCAUUCAUUAAUGGUUCGAUUGCUGCUACUCCUGCUGAUCAACUUGUUCUUCAUAGUGCUUGGCUGCGUGUUAACAAUUUGAAAAUUGACACUUGAUGUUGAUGAAAAGGAAAGAGAAGGCAGAGGGUAUUGUGAUUCAAGUCAUCACAAUGGGAUUGAGUCACACUUCAAGCGUCACAAUGUUGCUCCCAAACUUUCAGAGGAAGAGCGGGCUACUAGGCGGUAUGAGAUGCAAGUGGAUGUUGAACUGCAUGAAGAGCAAAGAUGGAAACGUUUGAGGAAGGCUGAGGAGGACGAUGGGUGAGAAACUACCCAUGCCAGCUUAUCUAGCGGCAGAAAUUUCUUGGAUGCUGCUCAGAAAAGUAUCUAUGGUGCUGAAAAAGGGGGAAGCUGGGUAGGUCUGCAGUUGAUUGCUGCCUAUCCUGAAUAGUUUUAGCUGAUAACUCUAGGUUUGCUUCUCCGCCUUGGCCCCCCUGCACAUGGGGUAUCUCUCAAGUAUUAGCUUUGAACCAUGUAUUGAAAUAUGAAUAGGGCGAAGUGAUAAUCGCAUUCUUUCACAAUUUACUUCUCCUUAGGGGCUAAUACCUUCCAGUAAUACUUGGCUUGAAAAUGAGGUGCCAAUUACUGACAUCUCCAGGCGUAAAUGUUAUAUAACACUCGCCAUGUGUGUGUUCUAUCACGUUUACAAAUUAAGGAUGACAAUGAAAAUUCAACCACUUCUUAAGGAAUUGAUUGGUUUGUUCUGUA